rnacentral:rRNA from 1 species
UAGGGAAUCUUCGGCAAUGGACGAAAGUCUGACCGAGCAACGCCGCGUGCGUGAAGAAGGCUUUCGGAUCGUAAAACUCUGUUGUUAGAGAAGAACAAGGACGUUAGUAACUGAACGUCCCCUGACGGUAUCUAACCAGAAAGCCACGGCUAACUACGUGCCAGCAGCCGCGGUAAUACGUAGGUGGCAAGCGUUGUCCGGAUUUAUUGGGCGUAAAGCGAGCGCAGGCGGUUUCUUAAGUCUGAGGUGAAAGCCCCCGGCUCAACCGGGGAGGGUCAUUGGAAACUGGGUGGCUUGAGUGCAGAAGAGGAGGGUGGAAUUCCAUGUGUAGCGGUGAAAUGCGUAGAUAUAUGGAGGAACACCGGUGGCGAAGGCGGCUCUCUGGUCUGUAACUGACGCUGAGGCUCGAAAGCGUGGGGAGCAAACAGG